GCUAUUUGCAGGAGCUUAGAGAAAGGCGUGGCUAUUUGUGGCAAGGCAGGGUCUGAAAGAACCAGCACUAGCUGAAGGAGGGUCACACAUAAUGACUGGUAGUUAUUGUCUUCAAUUCACAUGUUUACCCCAGAAUGAAUCCUAUAUGUUAGGACCACCAUGUUACUUGAGCGAGAUAUGUAGAGAACGUUGACGAGUCUUUUAGAACUGGCCCAGUGGCAACCCUUACCGUAUAGCAACCUUCUUUUGUGCUUUGUCACUUGUAACUUCCCUGCUCAAGUCAUUAGCAAAUCUCACUUACGGCCUCCUCCUCCAAAAGUCAUUAUCAGGAUGCAGCAGCACACCUAGCACCCUGAGCUUCUGUCCAUCACCCCUCAUCAUGCUGCUUGAUUUUCUGCCUGUCUCACUAGACUGAGAUAGUCAAAACACAGGGCAUGGUAAUGAGAAGAGUCCUGGAGCAGGUGUCACAAACCUCGGCAGCAGCAUCUGCUCUCCCCCCUCUUAGUUUGUGGUCUCAGGUGAUAUCAUUAUUAGCUUUACUUCAAGCUCAUUAUUUGUUGUCUAAAUCCUCUCGUCAGGCCUUCCUUCACUUUUGCAUGAAGAUAGCCCUCCCACAGUCUUCUGGUUGCUCCAGUUUGACCUGUAACCCUCCACGACUGGUGGUAUUUUCAUCUCCAGAUUUUCCCUAAGAGCUCCUGCAGCCAACUACACGUGCCCCACCCCCAAGCUCUUACUUCCCCGAGUUCUUACUUCGGAAUCAUAACCCUCACAGCACUGGAUGUCAGAGGUGGGGACUUUGAGGGGCUCUGUCCUCAUAAAUGAG